UACGGAGGGCGCAAGCGUUAUCCGGAAUCACUGGGUUUAAAGGGUGCGUAGGCGGCGCAAUAAGUCAGAGGUGAAAGCCUGCAGCUCAACUGUAGAAUUGCCUUUGAUACUGCUGCGCUUGAAUCAGGUUGAGGUUGGCGGAAUGUGGCAUGUAGCGGUGAAAUGCAUAGAUAUGCCAUAGAACACCAAUUGCGAAGGCAGCUGACUGGGCCUGAAUUGACGCUGAGGAACGAAAGCGUGGUGAGCAAACAGG
rnacentral:rRNA from 1 species